rnacentral:tRNA from 1 species
GGAAAAGUGGCUGAGUGGUUGAAAGUACUCCGUUGGAAGCGGAGCAUACGGCAACGUAUCGCGGGUUCGAAUCCCGCCUUUUCCGCCA